AUACGUAGGUGGCAAGCGUUGUCCGGAUUUACUGGGUGUAAAGGGCGUGUAGGCGGGACGGCAAGUCAGGUGUGAAAUACGGAGGCUCAACCUCCGGGCUGCAUUUGAAACUGCCAUUCUUGAGUGAUGGAGAGGUAAGCGGAAUUCCCGGUGUAGCGGUAAAAUGCGUAGAUAUCGGGAGGAACACCAGUGGCGAAGGCGGCUUACUGGACAUUAACUGACGCUGAGGCGCGAAAGUGUGGGGAGCAAACAGGAUUAGAUACCCUGGUAGUCCACACUGUAAACGAUGGAUACUAGGUGUGGGGGGACUGACCCCUUCCGUGCCGGAGUUAACACAAUAAGUAUCCCACCUGGGGAGUACGGUCGCAAGAUUAAA
rnacentral:rRNA from 1 species